GGACUACAAGGGUAUCUAAUCCUGUUUGCUCCCCACGCUUUCGCGCAUGAGUGUCAGAACCGAGCCAGAUGGCCGCCUUCGCCACCGGUGUUCUUCCUAAUAUCUACGAAUUUCACCUCUACACUAGGAAUUCCGCCAUCCUCUCUCGGCCUCAAGCGAUCCCGUUUCAAAGGCAAUUCCGAAGUUGAGCCUCGGGCUUUCACCUCUGACAAAGAUCACCACCUACGCGCGCUUUACGCCCAGUAAUUCCGAACAACGCUAGCCCCCUUCGUAUUACCGCGGCGGCUGGCAC
rnacentral:rRNA from 1 species